rnacentral:lncRNA from 1 species
GCCUGACAUCAGAGGUGCUCACUAAAUGAUGGUUUUAGCAUCAUGUGUGUAUGCAUGCCUCACGUCCAUUGAAAAAUUACCUGAGGUUCUAGUUCCAGGUAAGAUGAGGUAAACAUACUCUACUCUGUGUCUCCCACUGAAUGCAUCUUAAAACCUGGACUGAACACAUGGAUUGGCUAUUUGAAGUCUCUAGAAGAGGACCAAAUAUCAAAGAAACACCAAAUUAAUGCAAGUGACACAGAUCAGGCCAAUGAGCUGGAAGGAGAAUCCUACUGAGGGGCAUUCAGGAAACGGAAAAGGUGCAAUAAACAGGAAGAUGUACUUGGCUGGAUCAGAAUUUUGCCUUCUCCUCUCUUUCCUACUUUGAAUGCCAAAUUAUGUUAGGAGCAGCAGCAGCUACUUUGUGACCAUGAGGGGCAAGCUAAGAGUAAUGGCCUAAGAAGAACCGGGCAGAAGACAGGAAGUUCCACAGCCUAUGAGGACAUCACUGAGCAACUGGACCAGUGUCAGCAAUUACCCACCUCUGCGUAUUUGUUGGAUAUUCUGUUACUUACAGUCAAACACAGUCCUAAUUAAUAAACUCUCUAAGCCUCAUUUUCCUCUACUGGUAACUGGAGCUAACAAUAUUUAUCGACAUUCAUUACACUCAUGUCAUGUGCCAAGAACUCCUCUAGGUGCUGGCGGCACAGUGGUCAAGAAGAGAUAAGCUCCCUCGUCUUUUUGCAUUUACAUUUUGGUGGGAGAGACAGACACUGAACCCAUAAAAAGACAAGAAUAUAUCUGAGCAUGAAAAGUGCCAUGAAGAAAAGAAAAGAAGGCAGUGUGACAGAGGGACUGGUGUGAACAUGUCCUGGGAUCCUCAUGACGGGACUCUGUGGGGAAGUGAUACCUGAGCUGAGACUUGAAUGGGAAGAAAAUGACAUGGGUGAGUGUGGGGAAUAGCAUUCCGGGCAGAGGGAAUAGCAAGGGCAAAGGCCUUGAGGCAGGGCCAAGCUCGGUGAGUGGGCAGACCAGGAAGAAGGCCAGAUGGCUGGACAGCUGGGAUUGAGGAAAGGAGAGGAUGGAGGUGAUUCUGGAGGGGUGUGCUGGGGUCAGUCUUGGUAAGCAGGAUGGAUUUAUUGUAAAUGCAAAAGAGAAGCCACUGGAGGGCUCUCAGAGGAGUGUGGGACAAUGACUUGAGUUGCUGGCACACCAUAGGUACUUAAUAAAUGUCUAUAGCCUAGGGUGGAUGGUGCAUCCCCUUAGUGGGACUCCCGUCCUUUCUCAGUCUCAAUCAGCCCGUGCCCCUGUGCUACCUGCCUCGUGCCCCCAGCCCCCGAGCUGGACCCCUCCGGCUGCCUCGUGAGCUCUCCCGGCCCUGCGCCGUCCUCCCCCGCCAGGGCCGUUUGCUCCCUCCAGAGCUGGCAAGCAUAAUUGCUGCUUUCCACAGUGACAUAAAAAUCUAAGAGGCACAAUCAAUACAGCGCACACACACAUCAUCGUCCUUCAUUGCAAACGAUAAAAGCGUAAACAGCAGGGGUGGCGGCAACUCCCGAGGCUGCGGUGGGGGCAGGGCGGACUGCCACAGUCUCCUCGCCCGUCCCUCCCCUCUGGGGCACCGUCUCACUCUGGGGAGCUGCCGCUCAUUAAAGCACAGUUGGGAAACGGUUUUCUCUCUCUUUUCCUUCCAGAUGCAGCAACCCCAGUCUCUGUAACGCGACUUCAGAAAUCCAAUUUGUCUUUCCUUUCACUAUUUUAAAUGUUUUUUCUUGCUUCCCUGCAUCUCCCCAAAUACAGUGCUAGAAGCGCCUUUCUGGAGACAGAAGGACUUUCCUGGGUCUUGUUUGUCACAAGCCCACAAACUGACCUCAAAGGGGAGACCAGCCCUUGAUGGCCAGCUUCUUUGCUCCAUCCAGUCUGCCACCCACAGCUUGCCUUAGAAUAUGCGCAGAAACCAUCACACCCCAGCUCUCAGACUUGCAGCGACUUCUUCAAACUAGUUACUUAAUGAACGUCAUCCGGUUCCGAUUCAGCCUUGUCAUAUUCUCAUUUGCAAAAGCCAAUCUGCUUUACGAUUCCAACCUCUGGCUAGAAACCGCUCCCAAUUUCAUGUCAUCCAUAAACUUGAUGAACGAUUAGCUUGCUCCUCUGCAGUCAUUCAUUUAUUUAUUCAACUAACAUGUAGUGAGUGCCUACUGGAUGCUGGGUGCUAGACACAGAGUUAAAGGAGACGCAGGUCUUAUCCUUGAGAAACUCCUAUGCUGGCGGUGGAGCAGACGUGGAAAUGGUUUGUUGCAGGUGUCCUAUGCUCAACCAGGGCAGAGGAUGAGAGCGGCCUCCUCAGGGGAGGGGCGGUGUAAGCUGGCCUUAAGACGCUGGAGGGGGAGACCUUCCCAGCUGGGGAAGAAAUGGUGUCCUAGUUCGAGAGACCAGAAUGUGCACAAGCAAGGAGUUCUGGGUGGUGACGGGAGAAGAAAUGUACUGAUAUCUAUAAACGUGAGGGGCAAUGAGCCUCAGGACAGGAUCCAGCUGGGACCGGGAGGCCUGUCUCUUGGCUCUUCCCGUUUCUGCUUCAUCCUGAGGCUCCAUCUGGUAGCAAAACGGCUUUGAGCAGCCUCAGGGUUACAUCCUCCCAGGUUCAAUUCAUGGAAAAGAAAGUCUGCUCUCCUCUGACAGACUCGGCACUGGGUCUCCCUGGAUCACAUGGUCUCCCCGACCAAUCAGAAUGGCUGGGGGAAUACAGGCACUUUGGCCAGGUCUGAGGCACGUGGUGUCCCUGGACCUGGGGUGGAGUCAGCUGCCUUUGAAGCCCUGGGCUGAAGGGAGGGUGGGGAUUCCCAGGGGAAAGUUGGGUGGUGUUGGUGCUGAGAAGGGUGCACAGGUGCAGGGCUGCCGGAACACAGAUGGCCACUAUGUGGCCACUGGCGCGCUGUGGCACUCUGUCUCCCCAGGUGGUGGAAGGGGAGCCCCGGGGGUCCUUUCUGCGUGGUGGGUACAGGGAGUCACUCACAGGCACUCCGAGGGUGAGGUCGGCCGCGUGAGGCCUCCUCGCUUCCACGCUCUUCUAACUGUCUGCAGGUGGGUUUGGGUGGACUUCCUGCUUUCCCAAAUGCUGGAUUUAAGCCAGUCAGCAUGUAAUCUCCAGCCAGUCCUCUGUCCUCAGCCUCCCCACUCGUCAAGCUCUUUUCCUGCCCUUCCGCCAAACUGAACCUCCAGCCAUUUCGGGAACUCCACGGUGGCCACCGGCACCUUCUAACCAGAACUCGGCACGGGAGGCUCAGCUGGAGCCAGGGCUUGCCUGCUCUAAUGGGCCUCUCAUUGGCACAUCCUGAGCACUGCAGCCUUCCAUCAGGACUUAAGACGGAGUGGUGGGCUCCUCGGUAGAUAGGUAGGGUCCCCGAGGAUAGGUUCCUUGGGGACAGACAGAUCUAGGUUCUAGUCUGUAGGGACCAGGAUUAAGUUCAGCUGUGGGUGACAGACACCACCCCGAGGAGAAAAACAGUGCCCCAAAGACAGAAGUUUAUUUCUCUCUCAAACAAUCAAGAACCUAGAAGGUGGAAGAGAAGUUUCUCAGAGUCAAUGUCAAUCAUUCUUUCUUGCUGCUCAGCUCUCUUGUUUAUUUUUAUUUCUUUUUUAAAGAUCAGCACCUGAGCUAACAACUGUUGCCAAUCUUCUUUUUUUCUUCUUCUUCUUCUUCUCCCCGAAGCCCCCAGUACAUAGUCGUAUACCCUAGUUGUGAGUGCCUCUGGUUGAGCUCUGUGGGACGCCGCCUCAGCGUGGCCUGAUGAGUGGUGUCAUGUCCGUGCCCAGGAUCCGAACCAGCGAAACCCUGGGCCGCCGAAGCAGAGCGCACGAACUUAACCACUCGGCCACGGGCCAGCCCCAGCUCUCUUCUUCAAGUGGCUUCCUCUUCAUGGUCCAUGGUGGCUGUUUGGUUCCAGCCCCUAGGAGAAGAAGGGGACAAAGAAGCGCAUGUUCUCCCUUUCAGGACACUCCCAGAACUGCACGCUACACUUGUGCUUACAGCUCACAGUCAGAAUUGAGUCACGUGGCUAAAAUGGCCCCCAGGGAGGCUGGGAAGAGAGUCUCGAUUCCAGGCAGCCAUGGGCCUUAUUAAAGUGGAUCGCCCACGUUCCAGCAGCCGCGUUCACCGUGUGACAGGUUGGGAAGCACUGUCACACCAGCUUCAACACCCCUGUGAGCCCGAGCUGGGGGAGGAGAGUCACCCCACAGAUCCGACGAGGAAAGCCAGACUCAGAGAAGGCGAGGCCUUGCCCAUCUUGAUCCAGGACUCUAUCAAUGUGACCAGUCUUUCCAUGUUGGAUCUGCCUUGAAACAGUCUCCAUUCUCAGCAGGCUCUCCCCUCCUGGUUGGAGGAUGGCUGCCAGAAGAUUCCAACGCCACCCGCUUCUUUAUUCAUGUCCCGUGGGAAAGAUUCCCAGCAUUGAAUCUCUUUGGCCCUGAUCAUGUUGACAUGGGUCACGUGCUCCUUUAUUAAUUAACCUGUCACUGUGUGAUAGGAAAUGCUGAUUGGCUAGGCCAGCCUGGCUCAACCCUUAAGCUGCAUGUGGGGCCAAUUCUAGCCAGAUGCAUGGCUGGGAAAUUUGGGAUUCUCUGAGAAAUGGGGAGGGGAGGAAACAGACACUGUAGAAGCAACAAGCACACUCCAUGCCACCACUCGGUCUCAUUUCUUACCAUUCCCCAUAUACGCCCUCAUCUCUCCCUAAUCAUUGAUCCAGCACCUUCUGGAGGCUCCAGCUCUGUCCCUCCCUAGAAAACCCUCUGUACCAGUCAGGACUCUGGUUGCAAGCGACGGAAACCCAAGUGAAAUGGGCAUGAGCCAAAAGGGAAUUGUCUCACAUAAUUGUAAAGUCCAGAAACAGUGCUGCUGGCAUUAGGCCCGGGUGGUCCCAGGGACCCUGCCAGUGUCAUGGGUGCUUGGCCUCUUCUCCAUCUCCCGGCUCUCUCUCCUCCACGCGACUUCAUUCUCAGGAGACCCUGCCCAGUAAGCGGCAGGGGCGCCCCAGCACCCCAGGCCCUCAUUCGCUGGUUUGCCUAGUGUUCAGCCAAAGCCCCAGGGCGACUUUCAUUGGUCCACCGCUGACCAAUCACUGAGGAGGGGCGGGGCUGGCACCAGGUGACCGGUCUGACCUGGAUCGGUGUGCCCCUGCAGCUGGGGGAGGGGAGCCCCGCCUGACCCGCAGGACUGAUGGAAAGUCUGAAGGUCGUUUCCAGAGAGGAAGCCUGGGAGCUGGGCAGACAGGAGAAGAGCUUCAGUGACCCCGCAGUGUCUUUGUCGGCGCUGCGUUGCUCUGCAUUUUUCUCCAGAAACGUCUCCCCCUCCGUGUGUAGAACAUGGGGAUAAGAAUCACGUCAUCGUCCCUUCUCUGAUUAGUAGGUGCCUAAUAAACCCUGCAGAACAGAAUGCAGCUUGAAAUUUGAUGUGGCAAUCACAGCUACUGUGGAUGGAGCAGCCACCUACGCCAGCUCUUCAGAAGUGUUGUCAGGAAUUACAUUUAAGCAACAGGA